rnacentral:tRNA from 1 species
CGGCUGCUAGCUCAGUUGGUAGAGCACAUGACUUUUAAUCAUGGGGUCGCGGGUCCGAGCCCCGCGCGGCCGACCA